CCUACGGGAGGCAGCAGUAGGGAAUCUUCCACAAUGGACGAAAGCCUGAUGGAGCAACGCCGCGUGAGUGAAGAAGGGUUUCGGCUCGUAAAGCUCUGUUGGUAGUGAAGAAAGAUAGAGGUAGUAACUGGCCUUUAUUUGACGGUAAUUACUUAGAAAGUCACGGCUAACUACGUGCCAGCAGCCGCGGUAAUACGUAGGUGGCAAGCGUGGUCCGGAUUCAUUGGGUGUAAAGCGAGUGUAGCCGGGUCGAUAAGUCUGAUGUGAAAGCCUUGGGCUCAACCGGAGAACUGCAUCUGAAACUGUUGAACUUGAGUGCAGGAGAGGCGGGUGGAACUCCAUGUGUAGCGGUGGAAUGCGUAGAUAUAUGGAGGAACACCAGUGGCGAAGGCGGCUCUCUGGUCUGCAACUGACGCUGAGGCUCGAAAGCGUGGGUAGCAAACAGGAUUAGAUACCCGGGUAGUC
rnacentral:rRNA from 1 species